rnacentral:lncRNA from 1 species
GCUACUAAGUGAAAGAACUUAGUGUUAUUAUCCCCAAGGAUGAUUGCUCUAACUUUCUCUCUAUCCGCCCACUUCAUUUCCUCCUCUCUAAGAAGAGUAUGAAGCCUUUUUUCGGCCUCAAAUCCGAGAUGACGAUCAUUUUCAUCCAGCAAACACCACUCAGCCUUUCGAUCAAGCUCAUCUAUAAAUUUAAUGAGCCUUUCCCGCUCAUCUUUAUAUGUCCCCGAGACAUGCUUAGCCCAACCACGAAGGUAUUGUCUCAGAUGUCUAAUUUUAUUUUGCCAUCGUUCUACAUUAG